UACGGAAGGUCCGGGCGUUAUCCGGAUUUAUUGGGUUUAAAGGGAGCGUAGGCCGGAUAUUAAGCGUGUUGUGAAAUGCAGGUGCUCAACGUCUGCACUGCAGCGCGAACUGGUAUCCUUGAGUGCGCUGGAAGUCGGCGGAAUUCGUCGUGUAGCGGUGAAAUGCUUAGAUAUGACGAAGAACUCCGAUUGCGAAGGCAGCUGACUGUAGCGUUACUGACGCUGAAGCUCGAAGGUGCGGGUAU
rnacentral:rRNA from 1 species